CCCCAGAGCCUGCAGCAGCCUCUUGCAGAGGAGCAGAUGUGACUGCCAACCUCAGCAGUCUGGCAACUGCACAGACAAACCCGGGGAGAACUUGAGAGGCGAGGGGGAGGCUCUGGGCCGGGCGUUACCUUGGCAGGUCCUGCCAUCAUGGGAGAGCGCGUAGCCGCUGUAGCAGGCACAGUGGAAGCUGCCCGGCUUGUUGAAACAGAUGUGGUUGCAGCCCCCGUUCUGCUGGCCACACUCGUUGACAUCUGGGCACAGGACACAGAGAGACCGGGGAGUGUCCGCAGGGAGCAUGCCAUGGCAUCUGCAUGCCUGUCUGUGCCGUCACACGGCAGGCACGAGGGUCCCACUGCAGGUCAGCCUGCCCUGACCCCCAGCCGUCCUAUGGGUCUGCUCCAGGCUUUGUUCUUUGACACGCCACAGCUGUGCAGACGGUAAAUGUGUCCUGGUGGCUCUGUUGGUCCCUAUCUCUCUCUGCUCUCUUCCUGUGUGGACACAUGCCUCAUCCAGCUCUGGACAGCAUGGGGCCCAUGGCUGAGGCCCAAAGCAAGGGCCAGGGCUGAGGGGACCGUGACACCUCGCUGCACCUGAGCCUGUGCCCCUCAGCUGCGUUGACAAUCCAUGGCAAAACCUUGCUACUCUGGAUUGUUCUGUUGUCGCUGGGGGGCGACCAACAACAUUUCCAGCAGCCAUGGGGACUGUGGCCUUCAGCGGUGGAGACACAUCCCUGGGCCCGGCGGGGGCGGCCGGGCCAUGGAGGGACUAGCCCAGGCCAUCCUCACCCCACGUCACCCUUUCCAGAGCCAUGUCCUGCAGGACCCUCACCAGCCCAACACCAGGUUUGGGCACAGCAUUUCUGCCACCGGACUUGCUCCUGCUCAGCAGCAGCAAACCCCUAGUGCCCCAGCCCGUCCAGGCCUCCACCGGCCCCAGUGGUACCAGUCCAGACUCAGCGGAGCUGUGUCCCUUUGUCCCACACAGCUUCUCUCCAGGACCUAAGGGGGCCGCAGAGCCGUGUGUGCACCCAGCAAGCAGCAGAAUGAGCGACACUUCGGAUGCGUGGGUGAGGACAAGCCUCUGCAGGCACCAAGGGCACCACUUCCUGCCCAGCCUGAGCGCCAGACACAAGAGGCCUUUGGGGACAGGCACCCACAGCCCCGGGUGGCGGUGCUGCUCUGAGCCGGCGGGGCUGCCCCUGGCAGGAGCCUCUCUCGGCUGCUUUAGCUCCCUGUUCUCCAGAUCUGAGGGUGAUGAUGGGCUCCAGGGCGGUGCCCACCGUGACUAACAAGAAGGGGCUCCUCCAAUGGGGCUGGACAGAAGGUGGAGAGUCAGUGGGAGGAAAGCCCCAGGCCAGGAGUGAGUGGGGCUGAGGGGGGGCCCGGGCAUGCUGAGAGGCCCGCUCCAUGAGGCUGUUGCUUUGACUUUAACAAUAAUGAGCAAUCAAGCACCCAGCUAUGCCUUGUGCCUCGUGGCCAUGAAAUAAGAUGGCUUUGGGAGGGAACCGAUGAAAACAGCAUGAAGUGCCUCCAGCGUCCUGUGCACGGAGGCCUAGGGGUGUGGCUCUGGGGGUUGGGGGCAAGUAGGGCGUGCGUGGGUCCUGAGCGCCAGGCCUCGGGUCCCUGUCCUCAGCUAUCUUCACAUGCAGCUGAGUAAGGAUGGCACGUCAGGCUUCAGAGAAUUGACGGAGCACAAACAGCAUGUGGUCACACACCCAUGGAGGAUGACCCGGGGCAGGAUGGAGAGGCCAGGAGUGGGAGGCGGCGUCCCGAUGGGCUGGGAUCUCCUGCAGCCUGGCAGUGGCAUGAGAGCUGUCCUCUGAUGCCAGCUCAGAAACUCCCCUUCCUCCCGCACUCCUGGCCACCUGCCACCAGAGCACAGAGCCUCCAGCCCACUCAGAAGAAAUCUGUGGUGUUCAAACAGUUCAAGUCCCUCUAACCAUGAGAUCUCUAGCGGGCAUGACAUGGCCCAGGACUGUGACAGCCUCCGUUUAAGCAAGACCUGGGUGAUUUUACACAAAUGCUGUUGGAACAAGGGGCUGCCAUCUAGAAACUGCAAUGCUCACACCGCCAGGAGGUAUGAAGCUCUGGGAAACUGUUUAUGAUCUCCAGAAAAUCACAGUCUAUGACCCAGGAACUUAAACAAUCUAAUCAAUUUGGAGACCUAAUCUGAAAGGAAGAAACCGAUUUAGCAGAUUGACAACGAUAAAAAAAAUUGCUAAAAACAAAAAGCCAAAAUGACACAAAACUAAAACUGCCACGACACACCCCUGAUGUCUGCCUAAGGCCUUGGGGAGGUCAAUUCAGCCCUGGGAGACGCCAAUGUCACAGGGAGGCUGAGGAGGGGGCUUGCCCCAGGUCGCCCAUGAUGCAUGGGCUGGUUCUGGCUGCCCUGAGUUAAGAGGCACUUCUACCCAAAAUGACAGAGCCCAGUGGGCUCUGCUCCUGUUAGGUGACACUGCCUGGGGCUGAAGGGGGUGGGGGCCGAGCAGCAGUGCCACCUUACCUCCCCUUCCUGAUUUAAGUCAAUCAUUUCUCUGCUCAUCUGGGCUGGCUUUGGACUGUGCCCACAUGUGGACAGGUGGGAGGCCAGACGCAGCAGCUCUGCUACCGAGUCAGGCCAGCCAGGCCCUGUGAGCAGCCGUGGGUCCUCCUCUGCCUUCCUGGCUGCCUUGAGGGGGCAGGCGCAUGUGUAACGCAAGCCUCUGCAGCUGGGGCUGGGCGCUCAGAGCCCACUGCCCAGCACAUGCAAUGAACAGACUGACUGCUGGGCUUGGGGGCGACCAGGCAGCUGAGUGACAGGACAGCAAGCAAAACGGCAGCUUCAACAUGCGAUCAUUUAAAAUAACACUAAAUAACUAACUAAAUAACUAAAAAUAACUAAAUAACUAAAUUUAAAAAAUGACAUUACUACAUAAAAAAGAUGCAUAAUGAGCUUGGAAAAAUUGUGGUACUUUUAGGACAAAUGGCUAAUCAAGAGCUCCUAUAAAUUGAGAAAAACAGGCAAAGCAUAUAAAGAGAAAAACAUAAACAGAAAGACUAGCCAUAAUCUUCACCGUUGAUAUUGAAGGAGACCAAAAAGUAAAAGCAUGUGUUAGCCUGCCAGGCAUGGGGACGGCUAUCUUGCUUGCCCACUGCCCGGGGGUGACCAAUGCUGGAUCUGCAUCAGACUGAGUGAUGCUGCGCAGGCUUGGGGCUGCACUCCCACCUGGGAAUCUGUCCCACAGACACACUUCGAUGAGUGUAAGAUUUGUCUGUGAUAAGCAGCCCGUGAGUCCGCCGGGAAACGGUGAAAUAGUGCUACCUACCCGUACCGGUACACUGUGCACGUGUGUGCACUCUGUACAGGCUGAGCUGGAAGACAACCUGCACGCAGGGCAGCAGAAUGAGGUCAGGCACAUCUAUGGGAAGCUAGCAUUUGUGCAAAGCCAAAAGUGCCUAUGUGUUUACAGGUCUCAGAAUAUUCUGGAAGCCGAACUGGUUGAUGAGGAGGCAUGGCUGGAUGCGCUCGCUCUUCACACCCGUGAAAGGGUUAGCUUUUGUACUGCAUGCACGUCCUGUCUAUGUAAAGAACCAAAGCUGGGAUCCCUGGGUGGCUCAGCAGUUGAGUGCCUCCCUUUGGCCCAGGGCAUGAUCCUGGGGUCCCGGGAUUGAGUCCCACAUUGGUCUCCCCACAGGAAGCCUGCUUCUCCCUCUGCCUGUGUCUCUGCCUUUCUCUGUGUGUCUCUCAUGAAUAAAUAAAUAAAAUCUUUAAAAAAAAUAAAGAAUCAAAUUUACUUGCUUAUGAGAGAAAGUUCAGUGGAAAAAGAGCAGAGCUCAGGCUGGUGCUACUGCUCCCUAGGAUCAAUGGAAAUACUCAAGACCCCCUGAAAACCACAGCAGAGCCUGGAGUGACCUGAAUACGCAGGGCUGUGAAGAAGACAGGAAGGUGACAGACUUACUUUGAACACAUGAAACAAAAUCUGGGCUCUUUGUGUACGGAGAUCCAUGCUUAGUAAUGCAGUCUGCAAGAGAGAGAUGGAAAGAAGGUCAUUCCUGCUGCAGGACACAGGACAGACCUUAGACCUGGUACAUGGCCUCUGAGAUAUCUCUGGAGAAGAGACUGUCAUGUUUAUGGGGUGCUGAAGCUGAGGCACAGGUCAGCUUUUGUAUCACAGAUCAUUUUAACCCCAGCAGGCAAGAGAAUGCCUUCACCAAAGAAGAGGAACUGUGUCCGAAGUCUGUCUGCAGCCUUUUCAGGGGAUCCUUUUGCUUCAAACCAGAAGGAUCCUGAGCUGCACUCAGGGAGCACUCUGACCACAGUCACAGUGAUAAACUUCAAUUGCAACAGACACUGUCUGGAAACACCAGCCUUAAUUCGAAAAUCAUUCUGCCUUGGGGAGCAUCCCCACCUGCCCCAUCCAUCUGACAGGCGUGGGCAAAGGCGCCUGGGAGCUUGAAGGCCUGCAGAGCAGGUGUGGAGCUGCCAUGGCCCCUGGCACUCCACCCUGCCCAGGAGGACCAGGCCCUGGCAAGCUGGAGGGCACUCCUGGCAAAGCUGCUCACCCUUUGCCUCUGGAAAUAAACCGUGCACACCCUGGCAGGGGCCAGGUCUGUGGGGAACAGGCAGCCUGGGAGCGGGCGGGUUCCUGAGCUCUGCAGGGCCACUUACAGUUCCUCUUCUCUGUUGCCAGAUACAGACUCAGAGAAGGAACCUCUGAGAGGAUGUAAAGCCAAUGGAAAAUCUACUAACAUGCCCUUUGAAAAAUCAAAAAGGAAGGCCCUGGAAUAGGUUUAUUUCAUUCUAAAUGACAUGCAUCUAAGAACAAUCUUAAAAUGGUAUUAAUUAGAGGAGCAGUUCUCGGGGAAAUCCAGGGCCUCUUUCUGAUCAUCCAGGUUAGACUCGGCUGUCAUUUGUCCUUUCCUUUUCUCCGCUACUCGCACAGUGACGUCCCUGCUCAGUGACUGGGAGUGUCUGCUUAUACAUUCCUCUUGUUCAAAUUAAACAAAAACAUGUCCUCAGAGCUGAUUAACAGUUUGGCAAAUAUCAACACACGCAGCCCACAUAACCAAGUUCUCUGGGGUCUUUGAUAAUUCUGGAAGUGCAGGGACCCUGAGACCAAAAUGUCUGAGAGCCACUAAAUCAAUCACACUCCCAAACAGUGAGUUAAUCCUGAAGUCAGAGCACGGAAGCCGUCUGCAAAUAAUGGCACCGGACUGAGUUAAUGCGGCCCCUAUGGCGUGAAAGACACAAACAGGUGUUCUUCCCGGCGUGCUCUGGGUGGUCCCAAGCUCACUGUGUGAUUAAGCAACCUCCCCUUCAGGAGUGACUGGGUAACGAGCUGGCCCAGAUGUCUCUGAUGUGUGACACAGAGCCCCCUCUAUUCUUUUGUGACACCUACAGAAGCAGGGAUGUAAACUUACCUAAGUAUCUUGGAUAAAAAUAGUCCUGCAGAAAAAGAAAAAGAAAGAACAACAGUUUACUGGCACAGCACAGGCUCACAAACAGCCCCUGAGCAGCUGGGCAGUGAGACCG